UACAGAGGUGGCAAGCGUUGUCCGGAAUCAUUGGGCGUAAAGCGCGUGUAGGCGGCCAGGUAAGUCCGUUCUGAAAGCCCGGGGCUCAACCCCGGGAGGCGGAUGGAUACUGCUUGGCUCGAGUCCGGAAGAGGCGAGUGGAAUUCCCGGUGUAGCGGUGAAAUGCGCAGAUAUCGGGAGGAACACCAAUGGCGAAGGCAGCUCGCUGGGACGGUACUGACGCUGAGACGCGAAAGCGUGGGGAGCAAACAGG
rnacentral:rRNA from 1 species